rnacentral:rRNA from 1 species
GAGGAAUAUUGGGCAAUGCCCGCAAGGGUGACCCAGCAACGCCGCGUGGAGGAUGAAUGUCGUAAGAUUGUAAACUCCUGUUAGAGGGGAAGAAUAGUACCGGUUGGACCGGUAUAUGACUGUACCCUCAGAGAAAGCCCCGGCUAACUACGUGCCAGCAGCCGCGGUAAUACGUAGGGGGCAAGCGUUGUCCGGAUUUACUGGGUGUAAAGGGCGCGCAGGCGGGAUAAAAAGUCAGUGGUGAAAUCCUACAGCUUAACUGUAGAACUGCCUUGGAUACUUUUAUUCUUGAGUUCGGGAGAGAGAGACGGAAUUCCAGGUGUAGUGGUGAAAUACGUAGAUAUCUGGAAGAACACCAGUUGCGAAGGCGGUCUCUUGGUCCGACACUGACGCUGAGGCGCGAAAGCGUGGGGAGCAAACA